rnacentral:rRNA from 3 species
GAAGGUUGGGUAACACUAACUGGAGGACCGAACCGACUAAUGUUGAAAAAUUAGCGGAUGACCUGUGGCUGGGGGUGAAAGGCCAAUCAAACCGGGAGAUAGCUGGUUCUCCCCGAAAGCUAUUUAGGUAGCGCCUCGUGAAUUCAUCUCCGGGGGUAGAGCACUGUUUCGGCUAGGGGGCCAUCCCGGCUUACCAACCCGAUGCAAACUGCGAAUACCGGAGAAUGUUAUCACGGGAGACACACGGCGGGUGCUAACGUCCGUCGUGAAGAGGGAAACAACCCAGACCGCCAGCUAAGGUCCCAAAGUCAUGGUUAAGUGGGAAACGAUGUGGGAAGGCCCAGACAGCCAGGAUGUUGGCUUAGAAGCAGCCAUCAUUUAAAGAAAGCGUAAUAGCUCACUGGUCGAGUCGGCCUGCGCGGAAGAUGUAACGGGGCUAAACCAU